rnacentral:miRNA from 1 species
AUAUAUGUAUAUGUGUGUAUGUGUGUGUGUGUGUGUGUGUGUGACCUAAAUUUGCACACACACACAGCUUGCUCAUUUAUUUCCCAUA